AGUGAACGCUGGCGAUAGGCCUAACACAUGCAAGUCGAACGGCAGCACAGUAAGAGCUUGCUCUUACGGGUGGCGAGUGGCGGACGGGUGAGGAAUACAUCGGAAUCUACUUUUUCGUGGGGGAUAACGUAGGGAAACUUACGCUAAUACCGCAUACGACCUACGGGUGAAAGCAGGGGAUCUUCGGACCUUGCGCGAUUGAAUGAGCCGAUGUCGGAUUAGCUAGUUGGCGGGGUAAAGGCCCACCAAGGCGACGAUCCGUAGCUGGUCUGAGAGGAUGAUCAGCCACACUGGAACUGAGACACGGUCCAGACUCCUACGGGAGGCAGCAGUGGGGAAUAUUGGACAAUGGGCGCAAGCCUGAUCCAGCCAUACCGCGUGGGUGAAGAAGGCCUUCGGGUUGUAAAGCCCUUUUGUUGGGAAAGAAAAGCAGCAGGUUAAUACCCCGCUGUUCUGACGGUACCCAAAGAAUAAGCACCGGCUAACUUCG
rnacentral:rRNA from 1 species